GUAGAGCCUCUAGCCCUGCUUCAAUAUGCCUUAUUUAACACUUUAGUUCCACACUACAACACGUGCAGUGACAUCACCUGCUUUAAUUAAAUGAUAUUUCUAGAGACAAUGUCUCUUUCAUCAUCACUCUAUGUACAGGUUAACCCUCACUGUAUCCACAUCCUACCAUACCUUUGUCUGUACAUUAUGCCUUGAAUCUAUUCUACUGCGCCCAGAAAUCUGUUCCUUUUACUCUCUGUUCCGGACGUCCUAGACGACCAGUUAUUUUAGCCUUUAGCCGUACCCUUAUCCUACUCCUCCUCUGUUCCUCUGGUGAUGUAGAGGUUAACCCAGGCCCUGCAGCCCCCUGCACCACUCCCAUUCCCCAGGUUCUUAUAGCCUUUAGCCGUACCCUCAUCCUACUCCUCCUCUGUUCCUCUGGUGAUGUAGAGGUGAAUCCAGGCACUGCAGCCCCCUGCACCACUCCCAUUCCCCAGGUUCUUAUAGCCUUUAGCCGUACCCUUAUCCUACUCCUCAUCUGAUGAUGUAGAAGUUAACCCAGGCCCUGCAGCCCCCAGCACCACUCCCAUUCCCCAUGCGCUAUCAUUUGUUGACUUCUGUAACCGUAAAAAGCCUUGGUUUCAUGCAUGUUAACAUCAGAAGCCUCCUCCCUACGUUUGUUUUAUUCACUGCUUUAGCACACUCUGCUAACCCCGAUGUCCUAGCCGUGUCUGAAUCCUGGCUUAGGAAGGCCACUAAAAAAAAACUGAAAUUUCCAUCCCCAACUAUAACAUUUUCCGACAAGAUAAAACGGCCAUAGGGAGCGGUGUUGCAAUCUACUGCAGAGAUAGCCUGCAGAGUUCUGUCUUACUAUCCAGGUCUGUGCCCAAACAAUUCGAACUUCUUCUUUUAAAAAUCCACCUUUCCAGAAACAAGUCUCUCACCGUUGCCGCUUGCUAUAGACCACCCUCAGCUCCCAGCUGUGCCCUGGACACCAUAUGUGAACUGAUUGCCCCCCAUCUAUCUU
rnacentral:lncRNA from 1 species